GGUGCUAUAGUGUAGUGGUUAUCACUCGGGAUUUUGAAAUUGCCUUAGGAGGAAAUUUGGUGGCUUCCCGAAACCCAGGUUCGAACCCUGGUAGCACCU